UAGUUCCAACAACCUAAUGAAGAGAAUUGAAGCCACGGGUGAGGAAAAAUGUAAAGUGGUCCUGGAGAGGUCAGAACAAAUUGCCUGAGGGGUCAAAACAAAUCCCCAAAUGUAUAGACACCCUUCUGCCUCUGCCUCCUGAGUGCUUCCAUCAAAGAGUAUCACAUGGCCCAGACUGGCUUCAUAUACUGAGGGUGACCUUGAACUUGUUACCUUCUGCCAAGUGCCAGGGUUCCAGGGGUAAGCCACCACGCUGAGGACACUGGGCGGGGCUUUGUGCUUGUGAGCACAGCAUCAGGUAAGCUGUAUCUUCAUCCUGUAGGAUGUCUUUAAAGGUGUCUCUCCUUGUGCAUUUCAAAUUACAAAGAAACAUUCAAAUACAGAACAAAAUGAGGCUCCUUUUUUAUAAGACAGAACAGAGUCUUCCCCCAACCCCCUCCCCCAAGUCCCAACAUUCAACUUUACAUAUUGGAUGAAUUAUGUAGAAUGGAUAUCAACCCUAUUUUAUAAGUUUGUUUUCUACGAUAUCUGUUUUUAGGCAAACUGUCACAUUAUUUUACCAAGCACGUGACUUCAUGUUUAAGUACACAAAUACAGCAUAAACUUGGAUAUCUGUGUAUAAACAUAUCUAAAACAUAUUUCAAGGCCUACAAGCACCGUGCUUUCCAAAGGACAAUAAACACAAUUUUCCACUCGCUGCAUAAUGACCUGAGGCCUUGUACAAACUAAAAUAAACUGCACUAAUUUUUCAGUUGUAUGCUAAGGCCUUAAGUUCACCACAAAAGGAUUUCCAAACCGACUUGGCGCAUAAGCUGAUGGCUGAGUGAAGGCACAAUUGGGGAUUGUUCUUCGGCUGGAGGGAGUGGGAAGGCGCACCCUGACCUUCUGUGCUGAAGGGUUCCUUUUCAUCUGGUUUCAAUUCCCUUGUUUGUGCACCUUGCCAUAUUUAUUAUUGAAUUCCUGUUUUUUCUUCUUGUUGUUUCAUGUUCCGUGUUCCAAUGAUUUAUGAGAAAUAGCUGGUCUAGAUGUUAUCUUUGGCACAGAGAGCGCCCAGAGCCCCUUAAGGAGUCUGAGAGAACAAAUGUGUUGAAGCUUCAUGAUAUCCAGGCCGAGCAGAUGUCCGUCAAUGCCUGAACGCCGCCAGCAGCAGCCUCCUUAUGAUGAUGGAUUUUUCUUCCUAGAUGCAGCAAAGCGCAGCUGCAUUCAGAGAUCAUGUGCGUCCCCCUCACUUCGCUGCUGCUCCUUGUGAGACGAUAGGACUUGGUGCUUAAACAACCCUGGAGAAGAAAUGCCCAAAGAUCAACCCCUCGGCCCCCAGUAACUGAGGAUGAUUGGGAGGUCUUCAGCACUCGCCAUAUUUGAUUGACUAAGAAAUAAGAUAGGCUACUGAUAUUUUGCUUAUUUUA